rnacentral:rRNA from 1 species
UUUGCUUAAUUGCACCACAUGUGUUUUUUAUUGAACAAAUUUCUUUGGUGGCGGGAGCAAUCCUACCGCCAGAGGUUAUAACUAAACCAAACUUUUUAUUUACAGUCAAACUUGAUUUAUUAUUACAAUAGUCAAAACUUUCAACAACGGAUCUCUUGGUUCUCGCAUCGAUGAAGAACGCAGCGAAAUGCGAUACGUAAUAUGAAUUGCAGAUAUUCGUGAAUCAUCGAAUCUUUGAACGCACAUUGCGCCCUUUGGUAUUCCAAAGGGCAUGCCUGUUUGAGCGUCAUUUCUCCCUCAAACCCCCGGGUUUGGUGUUGAGCAAUACGCUAGGUUUGUUUGAAAGAAUUUAACGUGGAAACUUAUUUUAAGCGACUUAGGUUUAUCCAAAACGCUUAUUUUGCUAGUGGCCACCACAAUUUAUUUCAUAACUUUGACCUCAAAUCAGGUAGGACUACCCGCUGAAC